GGGGACGAAUAGCCAGUUGAUAGUAUCCGGCGUAAAGCGUGGUUAAGGAAUCCAGACAACCAAACUAAAGUCGAACGCCCCCAAAGCCGUUAUACGCACCUGGCGGUAUGAAGCACAAUUACAAAAGUAACUUUAACACCUCCCUGAACCCACGAAAUCUAAGACACAAACUGGGAUUAGAUACCCCACUAUGCUUAGUCCUAAACAUAGAUAGCCCCGCUUACACCCACUAUCCGCCAAGGAAUUACGAGCACCAGCUUAAAACCUAAAGGACUUGGCGGUGCUUUAAACCCCCUAGAGGAGCCUGUUCUAGAAUCGACAAUCCCCGUUCAACCUCACCCCCCCUUGUUCUUUCCGCCUAUAUACCGCCGUCGUCAGCUUACCCUAUUGAAGGCCUAGCACAGUGAGCGAAAUUGAUAAAACCCAAAACGUCAGGUCAAGGUGUAGCACAUGGAGUGGGAAGAAAUGGGCUACAUUUUCUACUUAGAAAACUACGGAAGGCUUGCUGAAACGCAGGCCCUAAGGAGGAUUUAGUAGUAAGCAGGAAUUAGAGCGUCCUGCCGAAACUGGCCCUAAAGCACGCACACACCGCCCGUCACUCUCCCCAAGCUCUACUAUUUUUACCCAAUAAAUAAACACAAGUACAGAUGCAAAGGGGAGACAAGUCGUAACAUGGUAAGUGUACCGGA
rnacentral:rRNA from 1 species